GCCGGGCGCAGCAGUGGUGCCUGUAGUCCCAGCUACUCCGGAGGCUGAGGUGGGAGGAUCGAUUGAGCCCAGGAGAUCUGGGCUGUAAUGUACUCUGCUGAUCCGGUGUCUGCACUAAGUUCGGCAUCAAUAUGGUGACCUCUCAGGAGCGGGGAACCACUAGGUUGCCUAAGGAGGUGUGAACCAGCCCAGGUCGCAAAUGGAGCAGGUCAAAACUCCCGUGCUGAUCAGUAAUGGGAUCACGCCUGUGAAUAGCCACUGCACUCCAGCCUAGGCAACAUAGCGAGACCCCAUCUCU
rnacentral:SRP_RNA from 1 species